rnacentral:rRNA from 1 species
UACGUAGGUGGCAAGCGUUGUUCGGAAUUACUGGGCGUAAAGGGCGCGUAGGCGGCCUGCUAAGUCGAACGUGAAAUCCCCGGGCUCAACCCGGGAACUGCGUCCGAUACUGGAAGGCUUGAAUCCGGGAGAGGGAUGCGGAAUUCCAGGUGUAGCGGUGAAAUGCGUAGAUAUCUGGAGGAACACCGGUGGCGAAGGCGGCAUCCUGGACCGGCAUUGACGCUGAGGCGCGAAAGCCAGGGGAGCAAACGGG